UCUAGUUUUUCAUAACCCUCGUUCCCUCUCUGCAGUAUUUACUUCAGGGUCACUCAGGAUGGCUGCACACCGUUUAUGCUUCCAGAUUGCGGUCGUGUUUUUGUCUGGAGCUGUGUGCAGUGCUGACUUCUCAUGCAGAAAUGAAGCCGACGAGCCUGUUGAUUGGUUUAUCAUCUACAAGCUGCCCAAAUAUAAGAUUGGCGAGGUCGGCAGUGGGCUGGACUAUAUGUACCUGGACUCUUCAGUGAAGAGUUGGCAGAUGAGUAAAUUCAUGAUUAACGUGAGUCAAGGAGCCAUCGGGAACACACUCAAUCAGCUUUACGUAGGUGGGGCCUACAAGUCCAACAACUCGGCCUAUGUACUCUACAAUGACGCUCCACCAAUCUUGGAUUACGUCCAAGGAUACGGACACACUAAAGGGGUUCUGCUCUUUGGCCGCUCUCAAGGUUUCUGGUUGUCGCACACAAUCCCCCAUUUCCCCUCAUUCCCGGAGUUGGGCUACCUUUACCCCUCCUCUGGUAAAGUCAACGGACAGACUGCACUGUGCAUGACCUAUCAGUAUGAACAGUUUCAUGAAAUAGCAAAGCAGAUGGUCUACCUUUAUCCACGUUUCUAUAACUGCUCUGUACCUGCUGCAUUCUCCGCCGACCUGCCACAGUUGGUCCAGUUAUGUGAAGGCUCCAAACCACUGUUGACCUCAGUGAAGAGAGUGGAGCAGCUCUUCUCUCUCGGAGGCGACAAGUUUGUCAGUUUUGUCAAAUCUGAGCACUUUGUGGAUGAUAUCUACAAUGGCUGGGUGGCUCAGGUCCUGAAGGCUGACCUGCUGGUGGAGUCCUGGCAGCGAGAAGGUCACGAUCUGCCAUCCAACUGCUCCCUGGCCCAACACACUAUGAACAUCCAGAGGAUUUAUUUUCCCACAUCAGUCAGCUUCCAGUCCCGCUAUGACCACUCCAAGUGGUGUGUGUCUCAGAGCCCCACGGACCAGGUGACCUGUCUGGGUGACCUGAACAGGGAGAGGGCCCAGCUGUGGCGUGGUGGUGGACUGAUCUGCUCCUUCAACCCUUUGAUUCACAGGGCGUUCAGACAGGUGGUGGACUGGUACAUUGACUGUUGACGGACCAGAUACGUAGGAGUGAAUCAGUCUUUGACUCAGAGGUUUACUGUCAGAAAUAGAAUGUAACAUUUAUAAUGAUUUCAGUAUUGUUGUUUUCAGUAACCAUUGGCUACUACUAAUGGCUUUUCCACUAUACAGUCCUGGCAUGACAUGACUUGGCACUUGCUUUUCCAUUAGAGAUGGUACCUGGGACUUUUAUUUAGUACCUGUUCUGGCGAGGUUCCAAACGAGCAAUACGCCCGACACAAGAAUCAAACCAAACAAUGGCAAACUUAAAAUCAGUUAAAGACUGAAGACAUGCAACAUUUACCAAGGAAACAUUUAACAAAGGAGUCUGAUGUAUUUAGCCCCUUCUGCUGUAUUUCAGUUCAGUGACUGUGUCAGAUUAAGUCUGUGCUCCGGUCAUGCAGGAAGUACUGGAAAGCCUUGUAUGUUUUCUUGUACGGCUUCGUGAAGGCCACUAUAAAUCCUUCUACUCACUCAGGGUUGUUGCAGUCUCUAAACACAAUAACCUUUCAAAAAUGACCAAACCUAUCCACUUAAAUAUUAACAUUUAAAAAAAUCUCAUCUCAUUAAACCAGAGCAACUGCUUGUGUCAUGUAUUUUAAUUGUAAACCUUUAUCCACUUCACCAAAUCACAACCAGUGUUUUGGUGAGAAUUAGAAUUUUCAAUUUUCUCACUUUCUUCAUCGCAUCAGUAUUUCCUUAUCUUCCUUACCUUUCCAGAUCAAGUGCAAUGUUGACCAAAAGUUGUGAGAUCCUGAUAAAUUCAGGGAUAUUUCAGAAUCUAUUAUUUCUGGCUGUGGUCAUUACUCUUAAAACACCCCUGAAAUAAUGGAAAUUACACUGGUAACAGCUGCCUAUAAUAUUAUAUGUUCCACAUCAAGAUGUUAGAACUUCUCUAUCAACAACUGAGCAGUUUUAGUGCCACACUGAUCCACUUGGAUCAGUGUGAUGAGACAACAAUGUCAAAUAGGUUUAUGCAAAAGUCUCGACACAUCAUUACUAAACAAAUGACAGCAAGACAAUAAAAUACACAACUCUUGGAGUUGAAAAGUAGAAAGGUAAACAUACACAUACAGUAAAUAGAGCAAGUCGAUUUUUUUAUGUUUAGUACUUUUAUUUAGUAGUUUAUAUAAAUACAAUGCAUAGAUAGUACUUGAAGCUUGUGGGACAGGAACAAGGAAGUAGAUUACAUAUGUGAUUUGCAGUUUUCAGUUUCAUUUCACAGUGACAACAAAUGUGAAUCGGCAGAACAGAUCACUGUGCAGCAUACUGUGAAGAAAAGGAAGAAAGAAAGAAAGAAAGAAAGAAUGAAAGAAAGAAAGAAAGAAAGAAAGAAAGAAAGAAAGAAAGAAAUGCAGAGGACCAUACAUACAGUGAUCAGAUUCCUCCUGACUUCUUGGAUCCUUCUCCAAGGGUGUGAUUCAGAUGUGAACUGUAGGGAUGACAAUGGAAACCAGGUUUGUUCUAUACAAGUUGCCCAAUUUGAAGGAUGGUGGUUUGUCGUAUCUGUACAUGGACGAGAGCACAAACGGAUGGAGGCUCAGCAGAAAAACCAUCAACAGUGCAUCUGGCG